AUUGAACGCUGGCGGCAGGCCUAACACAUGCAAGUCGAACGAGUGGCGGACGGGUGAGUAAUGUCUGGGAAACUGCCUGAUGGAGGGGGAUAACUACUGGAAACGGUAGCUAAUACCGCAUACCAUCAGAUGUGCCCAGAUGGGAUUAGCUUGUUGGUGGGGUAACGGCUCACCAAGGCGACGAUCCCUAGCUGGUCUGAGAGGGUGACCAGCCACAGUGGAACAGAGACAGGGUCCAGACCCCUAGGGGAGGCAGCAGGGGGAAAUAUGGCACAAGGGGCGAAAGCCUGAGGCAGACAUGCCGCGUGUAUGAAGAGGGCCUGCGGGUUGUAAAGUACUUUCAGCGGGGAGGCGUUACCCGCAGAAGAAGCACCGGCUAACUCCGUGCCAGCAGCCGCGGUAAUU
rnacentral:rRNA from 1 species